rnacentral:rRNA from 1 species
UACGUAGGUGACAAGCGUUGUCCGGAUUUACUGGGCGUAAAGAGCGCGCAGGCGGUCGUUCAAGUCGAGUGUGAAAGCCCCCGGCUCAACUGGGGAGGGUCAUUCGAUACUGAUCGACUCGAAGGCAGGAGAGGGUAGUGGAAUUCCCCAAGUAGAGGUGAAAUUCGUAGAUAUCAGGAGGAACACCGGUGGCGAAGGCGGGUCUCUGGGCCGAUACUGACGCUGAGGAGCGAAAGCGUGGGGAGCGAACAGG